rnacentral:lncRNA from 1 species
UGUAAGUCUUCGUAAACUAGGGCCCAAUUCGGCCCCCAUACACAGACUCCAAUAUCGACCUAUGAAGAUAACCUCGACCGCGGGCGUACUGAUCGAGCUCAAGAAAACCGAGGUAUCCUCUACAAGUUUCGACUCUGCUCGCCGAAACCUCGGCUGGGUCCGAGGGCGAUAACUAUGAAAGCCCUGGCGUCGAUUUGAUUAUUGGCUCCUCUUCGGGGGACAGCACUAACCCUUCUAUAGACCUAUGGUCCAAAAGCCGAGCACGAAAGCUCGGCGAGACCCCCAGAUAGCGGCCUAUGCAAGUCUAGCACGGCCCCGCUCGGAGGCCUGAGGCCCGAGCUCGGUGCCUCAAGAAUCCAAAAGCCAAACAUGGCG